GACAGAAGGGAUGUCCUACAGGACUGACAGUAUGGCAUGCAGGCAUGGAGGUUUGACUAUCAAGCUCCAAGAGGAAGGAAAAAGCCACGUGAAAGAAAAAUUUCAAGAUUCUCAAAGUUCAUACAGAUUACAGAUAAGGAGGUGCAUUCCCUUGGUGUGUAGAUUUACGGGAAAAUUUUGAAGAAAAUGGGCAGCAAAUGUGAAGGCUUUUAGCUGUUGAGUUCUCC